UCCGUAGGUGGAUAAUUAAGUCAGAGGUGAAAUCCUGCAGCUCAACUGUAGAAUUGCCUUUGAUACUGGUUAUCUUGAGUCAUUAUGAAGUGGUUAGAAUGUGUAGUGUAGCGGUGAAAUGCAUAGAUAUUACACAGAAUACCGAUUGCGAAGGCAGAUCACUAAUACUGUACUGACACUGAGGGACGAAAGCGUGGGGAGCGAACAGGAUUAGAUACCCUGGUAGUCC
rnacentral:rRNA from 1 species